GGUCCAAGCUUUUUAACCAACCUUCUUGAUGAUCAGUUGGAAUUUAGCUGCGAACGCGAUGUGAUCGAAACGGAACUGAGUGCCGGACUUUGUCGACUCUCAACUUAGAUAUUACGGAGCCUUCGACGCUGGAUUGCCCCAAGGACCUGGCCAGCAAAUUGCAUUUAGCUUGAGCUUAACUAGAUGCCCACUAACCGAACUAGUUUUUAAGAAAAACGCUUUAGUAAUUCUAGUCGUAUGUAGUUUGGCUUUUAGUUGAUUUAUGAAAUGCUUGUGCUUAUUAUUAUUAUUAAUAUAAUCGUACAUUAAAUAAAAAUGCUUUGAGUUUACCGCCAA